UACAGAAUUGGAACCAAGGAUGUCAUUGUGUAUAGGUUAAUGACCUCAGCAACUGUCGAAGAAAAUAUUUACAGAAAGCAGGUGUACAAGGGAGGCUUGUUUAAAAACCGUGACUGAGCAUAAAGAACAAAUCCGCUAUUUCAGCCAACAGGACCUUCGAGAACUUUUCAGUCUUCCUAAGGAAGGAUUUGAUGUUUCACCUACACAACAGUAACUAUACGAAGAGCAUUACAACCAGAUCAAACUAGAUGAAUUUCUAGAAUCCCAUGUUAAGUUCCUGGAAACUCUACGUAUAUCUGGAGUGAGUCAUCACAGCUUACUCUUCUCCAAGACUGCUCCAAUACAACAAAACAAAGUAGAAGAAAUAAGAAAAAAAAAAGGAGAAGGAGAGGAACAACAUCAUACUUGGGAGGUCCAUCAGCAAGCUCUUCUCAGGACAACAUGAACAAUGGGGCUGAGUAUGCUUUCAAACCAAAGGACGUGAAACUGGACAAAAGAAUCAUCAACAUUUCUCCAAUAGAUGAAUAUGACUUGUCGGAAAGAGAGAUUAAAGCAAGAGUCAGUCGGUUAUCUAUGCUAUUCCAGAACAAGGUAAGACAUGAAUCAACACUUGUAAAUAACAUGUAAUAAUCUAG